rnacentral:rRNA from 1 species
GCAGCAGCCGCGGGAAUACGGAGGGUGCAAGCGUUAAUCGGAAUUACUGGGCGUAAAGCGCACGCAGGCGGUCUGUCAAGUCAGAUGUGAAAUCCCCGGGCUUAACCUGGGAACUGCAUUUGAAAUUGGCAGGCUAGAGUCUUGUAGAGGGGGGUAGAAUUCCAGGUGUAGCGGUGAAAUGCGUAGAGAUCUGGAGGAAUACCGGUGGCGAAGGCAGCCUCCUGGGAUAACACUGACGCUCAUGCACGAAAGCGCGGGGAGCAAACAGGAUUAGAUACCCCGGUAGUCCCUGUCUCUUAUAC